UGAGUAACACGUAGAUAAUCUACCCAGGUGUUUGGAAUAACUAACCGAAAGGUUAGCUAAUACCGAAUACGUUCACAUUGUCGCAAGGUAGUGUGAAGAAAGAUGGCCUCUCCUUGGAAGCUAUCGCAUUUGGAUGAGUUUGCGUACCAUUAGCUAGUUGGUGGGGUAAGAGCCUACCAAGGCGACGAUCCAUAGCUGGUUUGAGAGGAUGAUCAGCCACACUGGGACUGAGACACGGCCCAGACUCC
rnacentral:rRNA from 1 species